AGCAUUAUUAAAAAAUCUGGAAUCCCCCACGAAAAUUAAAUAUUCGGAAUCAUCGAUAUGGGAGUUCUUUUGUGCAAACAUUUGAACGGAAGGUUUCCCAAAUUGGGCCAAAUAGGAAGAAGCAAACAUGUCCAGGCCGUCCUGUUCCUGUAUUUAACCGAUGCCCAGCCUUGCGGCACCCAACUGCGGUGCUGCAAAGAUGAGAUGAGGCCGGAUUCCACCCCGUUGCAAUCUGGAGAAAAUGGUUUAUCCUCGGGUGGCUUUGUUCUCGUUCGUCCGGAAAAUUUCAUUCCUUCCGUAAUCCCGUUGUGCAUGCAUUCGUCUUGAAAAUUAGAAAACACCCAGCACGAUUUGUUGGACUCGGGACAGUAUCACAAGGAUGGCACCGGUCGUACGGUUGGUGGCACAAUCUUCACAUCUGCGGGAUGGAUGAAAAUCAGCUGGUGACUAUUUUACCAUUCAUCUAGUCCAGCACUAGGUAAUAUUGUUUUUGAAACUAGUCCGGAAUUUGCGCAAACAACGGCGUCUUUACCGUUCUGAGUAAUACGCACAAUUUUCUCACUUUGAUAAUGAACGAUUUUAAGUGAAGUUUUAAGUUCAAAUGGGUCGCCGUCGUUCUAAGACCGUCAAGAAGGUAAUUUGUGAGAAAUAACACUCGGCGGAAGAGAUCUCCGCAUGAACAUGCCCUACGCCCAUCGUUACCAUUCCUACCAGGCCCCUGCCGGAUUUGAGACACAUCUUGUGAAGCACACCCACCAGUAUCCGGAAGUGUCCGCUCUGGAGCAGGACAUUAUCAAAUUUGAUCCGAGAUCAACUGCCGUGUCCAAUAUCACGGCAGUCAAGGAGCAGUUGGACUUCAACAACAUUGUCGUCCUGGCUUUGACGUCGUCCAAGGACACCGACUUCCGAGCUGCUCGGCUAUGUAGCUUUCCCCAGUGGUAACUCAUCUGAAACCUGCGAGUUUCGAGUGAGAAGCUCCUCACCUCUUGCCGGAUGUUCACGAUGACUCUCUGCCAUAGCUGGCAUUGCCAUGACAUUUAAGAGCUGCGGAUAGACCGAUCAGGUCAGGACAUAGAAUCAAAGUAGAGUCGACGAAUAUUGUCACCGGUGUGUUAUUGGCCAAUGGUCAGUGAACUCAAGCAUUCUAAGAAAAUCUGCUGAAUUGCACUGUGCCGGAUGUAUAAAAAUCCCGAUCUGUAUUAUAUUUAUUAUUCUGGUUUAAUUUCUAUGCAAUAGAUAAAAGAAAUAUGAGAACAAUAACAUUUUAUGGAAAUUCAAUGAAAAUAAAUAAUAAAAACCGAAAAUACCAUGCUAAGAAAAUUAAUUCACCAAAAUAAAUUUAUUCAGCACGACGCAUUACGCACAGUUUUACAUCACAUUUAUUUACAUCGCAUAGAUUACAUCAUAUUAUAUAUUACAUCGUAAGAAAUUACAUCGCUCUUGUUUAUUACACAGCAAGCUCUCAAGUACAUCGUGCAAUGUAAUAUUCAACAAGCGAUGGAUUCAACUGGUUGCAGCGAUUUCGAUGUAAUAUUCAACAACUUUUUUUGCUGUGAUACUUCACGUUCCUGCUACUGUAUUCGCCAGGCUAAUUUAUUUAAGAUCGAAAAUUGACGGAAUCCGGAGAAUGGUUUCCUGGCAUCAUGUUCCUCCAGUUGGCCGUUCAAGCAUGCGCACAUCUAUAGCUGUGAGCACGAAAACACUAAGGCCCUGGAAAGUCAUGAAAAUUUCCCACCCGAAAAACUCCUAGACUGCAGCAGGAUUCGAACCCAAUAAGAUAACACUGAAUCAACAAUUUGAUGUCACAAAAUUCGGCUCGCGGACAUCCCUUUAUCCUCGGUUGCGCGCCACGCUCGCCAAGUUUUUUUGCAUCUUAUACCCACGUAGCUCGCUGCAUCUCCUGUUGUACCACCCGGAUCUGAUGCGAACACCAUCUAUGCAGGAUUGCUGCGUACAUAAUUAUUGCAACGUUUCCUGCGAGCUCGUCGUUUCAUCGGCACACAUCGUUCCCGAAUACUACGCGUGUUUAUCAUUCUCCAAUAUUCUAAAAGAUUCUAUACGUAAAGGACUACAAAGUGUUUUUCUAUAUGGUACAUUUGAUAUGAUUGUGAAUUUUCUUUGCCCAUGGUUGUGAUAAGUUCCGAAGUAAGGAAAGCUUUCUAAGACAAAUAAUAAUGUAACAAAUAUAUCAUUCCUGAAACUGUACCGCCAGCAUUGGCACUGGUACAUCUCUAGCUCUCAUAUUCAUCAUAUUUAAAAAUAAAAGAAAU